rnacentral:misc_RNA from 1 species
GAUGAAGAACGUAGCGAAAUGCGAUAAGUAAUGUGAAUUGCAGAAUUCAGUGAAUCAUCGAAUCUUUGAACGCACCUUGCACCCUUCGGCUAUUCCGAAGGGUAUGCCUGUUUGAGUAUCAUGAACACCUCAACUCUCAUGGUUUGCCAUGAUGAGCUUGGACUUUGGGGGUCUUGCUGGCCUGUGGUCAGCUCCUCUCAAAUGGAUUAGCUUGCCAGUGUUUGGUGGCAUCACAGGUGUGAUAACUAUCUACGCUUGUGGUUUUCCACCAGGUAACCUUCAGCAAUGGGGGUUCGCUGGGGCUCAUAAAUGUCUCUCCUCAGCGAGGACAGCUCUUUGAACGUUUGAUCUCAAAUCAGGUAGGACUACCCGCUGAACUUAAGCAUAUCAAUAAGCGGAGGA